rnacentral:sRNA from 1 species
UUUUACUAAAACGACAAAAGCCCUACCUCUCUUUCGUCCUUGCGGCUCCUUGACCGCGCCAGUGUGAAUAAGUGUUACCAAUAGUCA